GCAGGUUAUUGUCCGGAGAAUUCACGCUGAGCAACUGGGUGUGCUGGUGAUGUUUCUAUCAUGCUACUGGCACAAAACCACAAGAAUACAAACAUGAAGAAGAAGAGUCACUGACACGAAGACGCCAACAAAAACAUCUAACUGGAGAGACAACGCGAUUUGGGGACUUCUAUCGAACGACAACAUCCAUCAAGUCCACUGACUUGGAAUCCGUCACAAGCGUACGGCUAAACCUCGGCGAUCAGUGGCCGCUGACCAGAGGAUCUGGGUCACAGCACCAGUUUUAUUUAGUAGCCGUAAACUGGUCGCUCACAACGCUGAAGAACACCAGACACACCGGAACUCAGGAUUGGCAUUGUUAUUCUCCACAACAGAGUAGCAUGGAACAAGAGAACGCAGAGUCACCUCUCUGGACAUGGGGCUGCCUUAUCCAGCGGCCGCAGACCCACCACCAGCCUUUUCUCUGCUGCAGCUGUUGAUUUAACACCUUUCGACCUCAUCAUGUGACUUGAAAUGUAGCAACAUACAAUACUUGAGAUACAAAAUGCAGAAGUUGAAGUAAAAUUACAGAUGUUUAAAAAUACUCAAAAAGUGCAAGUACACACACAAAAAAAGCCACUUUUGUUAUUGUAAUAAGAAUAAAUAAACCCUACAAAGGGUAUUGAAUAUAUAGAAUUGCCAAGAGGGGGAACAUAGAAAACAACUUUGUAAUAAAGUGUACGGCUGAGGAAGAAUCUGCCAAAAUCCACCUCUCAACCUGAACUUGUUUCUUCAUUCGCCGUUCAGUGGUUCAGCACGACAAAUACCUUUGACAGCUCGUGACUGGCUCGUUCUCUGGCACUUCACAACCACUUCCUUGUUCUAGCGCCACCGUCGAGCCUCUCCUUGGUCAUCAGCUCCACCUAGCGCCCGGCUGCAGACUACCCAAAGAGACGCUCACCUUGGCAGAAGUAAAAACAGUCUCUCUGCAGAGUUCCCAUUACAACAGUCUUUGUCAAAGAAUCUAACACUACUAAUGGAUACACACUUUGGGCUCUCUAAUGUGGGUUUAAAUAUAGACUCAUUCUACAUAGGGAGUUUGAUGAUAUUUGAAUGUUGUUGGUACUGGCCUUUAUGAUGGCUUUCCCAGUGUUUCUAUAAGAAUUGAAGACUUGGAGUUGUAUGUGUGUGUCACAUACAGAGGUUUUCUUUGUGUGUGUGUGUAC